rnacentral:lncRNA from 1 species
CCCAAAUCCGGUGUUAAAGCUGUGGUCUCCAGAGAUUUCCAAGUCAUCUAAUAGAGAAAAAAAAAAAGAAAAAAUUAAAUGAUUUCAUUUUUUCAAGUUCAUCUGUGAAGUUCUUCUGAAAUUGGAAAAUUGCGAUGGCAUUUUCUUCUGUUGACUAUUUAGCACAAAAACAAUACACUUCGUAUUACAGGAAGCAAUCAUAAAAAUGAAAACACGCGAACCUGGCGCCACUCUUUAAUAAUAAAUACUUUAACUUUAAAAUAAUAGCUAUUAUCCUUUUAGCUAAUGGAGAAAUUACCAUUUUUACUCUGCCGGAUAGUUAUUCUUUUGGUAAUAGAAACACUAACCUUUUUUCUCCCUAGGGAUUUAUUAGUAAGCACGUGUAAUCUUUGGCAAAAGGAAGCCUGAAAAUGCAUUUCCCGUGGGACCCCGCGCCCGUCGAUGCCUUUCAGCCUGCAGCUGACCUCGGGAGACCUGGAAAAGCAGGAUUCCAGGGACACAUUUACGACCGUCAUAAUUGGCUGGCGAAACUUGGGCCGUGACAGAGCAGGGAGGAAAGGAGAGAGAGGAGAAUGAGGUAGGUGUGUCAGGAAGGAGUCAUUUUCUUAGCUUAAAAAAAAAAAAAAAAUGGAGGUACAGUCGCCGCGGUUCCGCCUCAGUGACCAUGAAACCGAGUCGGCAAAAGCUGAAGGACCCGGCUCCUGAAAGCCUCAUCAGGC